CCCUUAGAUGUCCUGGGCCGCACGCGCGCUACACUGACAUGUUCAACAAGUUUCUCCUAGUUCGACAGGACUGGGAAGUCUUUGAACGCAUGUCGUGAUAGGGAUAGAUCAUUGCAAUUAUUGAUCUUGAACGAGGAAUUCCUAGUAAACGUGAGUCAUCAGCUCGCAUUGAUUACGUCCCUGCCCUUUGUACACACCGCCCGUCGCACCUACCGAUUGAAUGUUUCGGUGAAGAUUCCGGAUAGGACUGAUUUGAUUUAUUUCAUUUCUGACCUAAAAGCUAUCUAAACCUCAACAUUUAGAGGAAGGUGAAGUCGUAACA
rnacentral:rRNA from 1 species